CCCAGGUCGAGCAAACUGCUGCGUUCUCCUCAAGAUGGACAAUGUGUCGGCAGUCCGGUACAUAAAUCACCUUGGGGGUACCAAGUCCAGAAUGUUGGCACUAUUGGCGAAGGACUUCUGGCAAUUUUGCCUACUCAACAACGUCUCGGUGCAGGCGGAACACAUCCCAGGUCUGGACAAUUCGGGAGCGGAUUGGAAUUCCAGACACUUAAGA